UUUUGUAUAAGUUAGGUGUUGAAUAUGAAUAAAAUAUACCACAUAGUUUUAAUAUAUUAAAUGUGAUUUUGGAACUAAUUAUUAAUUGAAUUAUAUAUUAAAUUUAAAAGUAAAAAUGUAGAAUUAGGUAAUAGACGGCAGUAUGGUAGUAUAUAUAUGGCAUUGUACGUGCUCUUUUUCCCUAUCAUCCCUCUUCUUAUCUUCUAACCAAACUUCUCUCUGUUUGUGCCCAAACUUUCCAAGUUCAUCACUCUUUUCAUAACUAUAUAUAUAAUUAUAACCAAGUACCAGCUAUAUACAUAUAAUAUAUAUCUACAUAUCUUUUCUUGUAUCCUACAAAUUAAUUGUUGGUCUUCAAAUUAGUACAGAAAAUAUAUAGUCUAAACGAAUCUCCUUUUUGGACGUUAUAUAUAUAUAUAUAUAUAUAUACAUAUUUAUAUAUCUACACAUAGCUGCAAACCCAGAUAUAUAUACAUACAUUUAAUAUUGGUGAGGAGUGAUGNNN
rnacentral:lncRNA from 1 species